rnacentral:rRNA from 1 species
UGCCUGAUGGAGGGGGAUAACUACUGGAAACGGUAGCUAAUACCGCAUAACGUCGCAAGACCAAAGAGGGGGACCUUCGGGCCUCUUGCCAUCAGAUGUGCCCAGAUGGGAUUAGCUAGUAGGUGGGGUAAUGGCUCACCUAGGCGACGAUCCCUAGCUGGUCUGAGAGGAUGACCAGCCACACUGGAACUGAGACACGGUCCAGACUCCUACGGGAGGCAGCAGUGGGGAAUAUUGCACAAUGGGCGCAAGCCUGAUGCAGCCAUGCCGCGUGUGUGAAGAAGGCCUUCUGGUUGUAAAGCACUUUCAGCGAGGAGGAAGGUGGUGAACUUAAUACGUUCAUCAAUUGACGUUACUCGCAGAAGAAGCACCGGCUAACUCCGUGCCAGCAGCCGCGGUAAUACGGAGGGUGC